UGCGUAGGCGGGUUUUUAAGUCAGAGGUGAAAUCCUGGAGCUCAACUCCAGAACUGCCUUUGAUACUGAAAGUCUUGAGUAUGGGAGAGGUGAGUGGAACUGCGAGUGUAGAGGUGAAAUUCGUAGAUAUUCGCAAGAACACCAGUGGCGAAGGCGGCUCACUGGCCCAUAACUGACGCUGAGGCACGAAAGCGUGGGGAGCAAACA
rnacentral:rRNA from 1 species